rnacentral:rRNA from 1 species
AACGUAGGAGACAAACGUUAUCCGGAGUUACUGGGCGUAAAGGGCGUGCAGGCGGUCUGUUAAGUCUGGCGUGAAAGCUCUCGGCUAAACCGGGAGAGGUCGUUGGAUACUGACGGACUAGAGGACGGUAGAGGCGUGUGGAAUUCCAGGUGUAGCGGUGAAAUGCGUAGAUAUCUGGAGGAACACCGGUGGCGAAGGCGACAUCCUGGACCGGUAUUGACGCUGAGGCGCGAAAGCCAGGGGAGCAAACGGG